rnacentral:rRNA from 1 species
UAGUCCACGCAGUAAACGUUGUAUACUAGGUGUAGCGGGUAUUGACCCCUGCUGUGCCGCAGCUAACGCAUUAAGUAUACCGCCUGGGAAGUACGGUCGCAAGACUAAAACUCAAAGAAAUUGACGGGGGCCCGCACAAGCGGUGGAGCAUGUGGUUUAAUUCGACGCAACGCGAAGAACCUUACCCAGACUUGACAUCCUGAGAAUCUGUUAGAAAUAUUAGAGUGCCUUCGGGAGCUCAGAGACAGGUGCUGCAUGGCUGUCGUCAGCUCGUGUCGUGAGAUGUUCGGUUAAGUCCGGCAACGAGCGCAACCCCUAUCUUCAGUUGCCAGCAUUUUGGAUGGGAACUCUGAAGAGACUGCCCCGGUUAACGGGGAGGAAGGUGGGGAUGACGUCAAGUCCUCAUGGGCCCUUAUGUCUGGGGGCUACACACGUGCUACAAUGGUAUGUACAGAGGGGUAGCGAACCCGGCGAGGGGGAGC